rnacentral:rRNA from 1 species
UGGGGAAUAUUGGACAAUGGGCGAAAGCCUGAUCCAGCAAUGCCGCGUGAGUGAUGAAGGCCUUAGGGUUGUAAAGCUCUUUUACUGGGGAUGAUAAUGACAGUACCCAGAGAAUAAGCUCCGGCUAACUCCGUGCCAGCAGCCGCGGUAAUACGGAGGGAGCUAGCGUUGUUCGGAAUUACUGGGCGUAAAGCGCACGUAGGCGGCUUUUUAAGUCAGGGGUGAAAUCCCGGGGCUCAACCCCGGAACUGCCCUUGAAACUGGGAAGCUAGAAUCUUGGAGAGGCGAGUGGAAUUCCGAGUGUAGAGGUGAAAUUCGUAGAUAUUCGGAAGAACACCAGUGGCGAAGGCGACUCGCUGGACAAGUAUUGACGCUGAGGUGCGAAAGCGUGGGGAGCAAACAGGAUUAGAUACCCGUGUAGUCC